UUAAGAAAUACCUGCUUUUAGGACAAGGAGAGGCUGCGAGGAGACCAGGGCCUGGGUCGAUCUGCUAACCGAGGCAUUUUGGACUAAAGGCCAGAGCCAGCAAGACCAUCAAAGGACCAGAUGAAAGGCUGACCCAGAGAGCUCAGCUCUCCAGUCCAAACACUGACAUAUGCUGCUGCAGCCACGGUGAGGGGGAAGCAGAUGGAGAACGGCCCUGAAAGGUAGCAGCCACAUCAAUGAUUG